rnacentral:rRNA from 1 species
CGCCCAACAGCUAGCCCACCCAACCAGAAACAACCAAUCAUUAUUUAUACCCCUAAAUACACCAACACCUGUAUUAAACAAAUCAUUUUUCCCCCCUAGUAUGGGCG